AGAUCUUCGGAUCGAUCCUCCCACCCUAUGUUUAUAUACUUGUGCUUUGGCAGGCCCGCCUUCGGGCCACCGGCUUAAGCUGGUCCGCGCCUGCCAGAGGACCCCAAACUCUUAUUAUCAGUAUUGUCUGAAGAAACUAUAUAAUAGUUAAAACUUUCAACAACGGAUCUCUUGGUUCUGGCAUCGAUGAAGAACGCAGCGAAAUGCGAUAAGUAAUGUGAAUUGCAGAAUUCAGUGAAUCAUCGAAUCUUUGAACGCACAUUGCGCCCCUUGGUAUUCCGGGGGGCAUGCCUGUUCGAGCGUCAUUACAACCCUCAAGCUCUGCUUGGUAUUGGGCCUCACCAUCCCGGUGGGCUUUAAAAUCAGUGGCGGUGCCAUCUGGCUUCAAGCAUAGUAAUACAUCUUGCUUCUGGAGUCCAGGUGGUUACUAGCCAGCAACCCCAAUUUUCAGGUUGACCUCGGAUCAGGUAGGGAUACCCGCUGAACUUAA
rnacentral:rRNA from 1 species